GAUGAACGCUGGCGGCGUGCUUAACACAUGCAAGUCGAGCGAAGCGCUUAAGUUUGAUUCUUCGGAUGAAGACUUUUGUGACUGAGCGGCGGACGGGUGAGUAACGCGUGGGUAACCUGCCUCAUACAGGGGGAUAACAGUUAGAAAUGACUGCUAAUACCGCAUAAGACCACAGGGUCGCAUGACCCGGUGGUAAAAACUCCGGUGGUAUGAGAUGGACCCGCGUCUGAUUAGCUAGUUGGUGGGGUAACGGCCCACCAAGGCGACGAUCAGUAGCCGGACUGAGAGGUUGAACGGCCACAUUGGGACUGAGACACGGCCCAG
rnacentral:rRNA from 1 species